GGUGGCGGGGGCGAGUAGACAUAGGAAAUGCUUAGUAGCGGGGGACAACUCGGGGAAACACGAGCUAAUACCGCAUACGCCCUACGGGGGAAAGAGGAGGAUCCUUCGGGACUUCGCACUAUUGGAUGAGCCUAUGUCGGAUUAGCUUGUUGGUGAGGUAAUGGCUCACCAAGGCAACGAUCUGUAGCUGGUCUGAGAGGACGAUCAGCCACACUGGGACUGAGACACGGCCCAGACUCCUACGGGAGGCAGCAGUGGGGAAUAUUGGAUAAUGGGCGCAAGCCUGAUCCAGCAAUGCCGCGUGUGUGAAGAAGGCCUGCGGGUUGUAAAGCACUUUCAAUCGUGAAAAAAAGCUUACGGUUAAUACCCGUGAGUCUUGAUGUUAACGAUACAAGAAGCACCGGCUAACUCCGUGCCAGCAGCCGCGGUAAUACGGAGGGUUGCGAGCGUUAAUCGGGAAUUACUGGGCGUAAAGAGCACGUAGGCGGCUUGGUCAGUCGGAUUGUGAAAGCCCCGGGCUUAACCUGGGGAAUUGCAUUCGAUACUGCCAGACUAGAGUUUAGUAGAGGAAUGCGGGAAUUCCGGGUGUGAGCGGGUGAAAUGCGUAAAUUUCCGGGAGGAACNUCAAUGGCCGAAAGCAAGCAUUUCUGGGGCUAAAACUGACGCCUGAUGUGCGAAAGCGGUGGGGAGCAAACAAGAUUAAGAUACCCUGGUAGUUCCACGCCGUA
rnacentral:rRNA from 1 species